rnacentral:rRNA from 1 species
GACGAACGCUGGCGGCGUGCUUAACACAUGCAAGUCGAGCGGAAAGGCCCCCUUGUGGGGUACUCGAGUGGCGAACGGGUGAGUAACACGUGAGUAACCUACCCUUGACUUUGGGAUAACUUCAGGAAACUGGGGCUAAUACCGGAUAGGAGCUCCUGCUGCAUGGUGGGGGUUGGAAAGUUUCGGCGGUUGGGGAUGGACUCGCGGCUUAUCAGCUUGUUGGUGGGGUAGUGGCUCACCAAGGCUUUGACGGGUAGCCGGCCUGAGAGGGUGACCGGCCACAUUGGGACUGAGAUACGGCCCAGACUCCUACGGGAGGCAGCAGUGGGGAAUAUUGCACAAUGGGCGGAAGCCUGAUGCAGCAACGCCGCGUGCGGGAUGACGGCCUUCGGGUUGUAAACCGCUUUCGCCUGUGACGAAGCGUGAGUGGCGGUAAUGGGUAAAGAAGCACCGGCUAACUACGUG